rnacentral:misc_RNA from 1 species
GAUGAAGAACGCAGCGAAAUGCGAUAAGUAGUGUGAAUUGCAGAAUUCAGUGAAUCAUCGAAUCUUUGAACGCACGUUGCGCCCCCUGGUAUUCCGGGGGGCAUGCCUGUCCGAGCGUCAUUGCUGCCCUCAAGCACGGCUUGUGUGUUGGGCCUCCGUCCUCCUCCCGGGGGACGGGCCCGAAAGGCAGCGGCGGCACCGCGUCCGGUCCUCGAGCGUAUGGGGCUUCGUCACCCGCUCUUGUAGGCCCGGCCGGCGCUUGCCGACACAUCAAUCUUUUUUCCAGGUUGACCUCGGAUCAGGUAGGGAUACCCGCUGAACUUAAGCAUAUCAAUAAGCGGAGGA